AACAGGGAAGACAGGUAGAAGCUUUUCGCAGUCGUGCAUCAGUCAUCGCGUCGACAAAAUGUUUCCGCGAACCGUUCUGCUGCUUCUACUUUCUUGCGUUGCCAGCAGUCUGGCGUUGGAGCUCGUGGAGACCACGACCGAAGCCGGCAAAUUAACCUCGCUGUCCGAAGUGGAAAUUCUUCUAUCAAUAGCAGCGUGCGCGUUCGCUUCCAUCGCAGUUGUAAUCGUGCCAACGAUGCUUUAUUACAAAUUCUGCGGCGCACAAUUGCAACACGAAGACGACUCGCAAGACCGAAAACGUUUAUCGAUUUAAUUAUGCGAAACCGUCGAUCCGAUCGUAGAAGAAUCGCUUCUUCGUUGUAAGCUAAAAAAUGCUGAGAGCGUUGCGUUAUCGUUACGAUGUGAAUCUAGGCACUUUUAGAACACGAUUUUCAACCGAUUAGAAGCUUCGAGAAUGAUAAUAAAUAUAAAUGAGCUGUUUCAAGCGAAAAUGUUGCAAGCCAAUUUGUUUGCUAGGUUAAUUUAAUGUUAUUAAAUCACGUUUAAUUUAAUAUCUCAUUUGAUUUCUCGUUAUUAUUCGAAGUUAAAGCUUGAAAGUGGCUUACGUAAAACAGUUGCCACGAUUAUUUGCGUUAUCGCAUUUUACGAAACUUUUCAUUCAUCCUCUGUUAUCCACAAAUUAACUUUUUCAACUUACAUCGUUUCUGCUUUAAACGGCUCGAGUAUGAAAUUCUAUGAGAAUCUACGGUCGUCCGACUCCCGUAUUUAAUUUACAAUUAAUUUACCUCGACUGACAUUGAUAUUCGAUGAAUAAAGAAAUACGCUUUUUUAACGUGCAA